rnacentral:rRNA from 1 species
UGGGGAAUAUUGCACAAUGGGGGAAACCCUGAUGCAGCGACGCCGCGUGGAGGAAGAAGGUCUUCGGAUUGUAAACUCCUGUUGUUGAGGAAGAUAAUGACGGUACUCAACAAGGAAGUGACGGCUAACUACGUGCCAGCAGCCGCGGUAAAACGUAGGUCACAAGCGUUGUCCGGAAUUACUGGGUGUAAAGGGAGCGCAGGCGGGCGAUCAAGUUGGAAGUGAAAUCCAUGGGCUCAACCCAUGAACUGCUUUCAAAACUGGUCGUCUUGAGUAGUGCAGAGGUAGGCGGAAUUCCCGGUGUAGCGGUGGAAUGCGUAGAUAUCGGGAGGAACACCAGUGGCGAAGGCGGCCUACUGGGCACCAACUGACGCUGAGGCUCGAAAGUGUGGGUAGCAAACAGGAUUAGAUACCCUGGUAGUCCACACCGUAAACGAUGAUUACUAGGUGUUGGGAGAUUGACCCUCUCAGUGCCGCAGUUAACACAAUAAGUAAUCCACCUGGGGAGUACGACCGCAAGGUUGAAACUCAAAGGAAUUGACGGGGGCCCGCACAAGCAGUGGAGUAUGUGGUUUAAUUCGACGCAACGCGAAGAACCUUACCAAGUCUUGACAUCCCUUGACGAUGCUGGAAACAGUAUUUCUCUUCGGAGCAAGGAGACAGGUGGUGCAUGGUUGUCGUCAGCUCGUGUCGUGAGAUGUUGGGUUAAGUCCCGCAACGAGCGCAACCCUUAUGGUCAGUUACUACGCAAGAGGACUCUGGCCAGACUGCCGUUGACAAAACGGAGGAAGGUGGGGAUGACGUCAAAUCAUCAUGCCCUUUAUGACUUGGGCUACACACGUACUACAAUGGCGUUAAACAAAGAGAAGCAAGGCCGCGAGGUGGAGCAAAACUCAGAAACAACGUCCCAGUUCGGACUGCAGGCUGCAACUCGCCUGCACGAAGUCGGAAUUGCUAGUAAUCGUGGAUCAGCAUGCCACGGUGAAUACGUUCCC